GGUUAAUAGACCACAAGUCCAAAAGUGAAUGAGCAUAGCGGAGCUGUUCAAUUGGAAAAUGGCCACCCGUCCAUUUUUUUUUUCUAAGGAAAUGAAGAAAUUUUAGGUUUAGCGUUGGACUUUUGGUACUUUACCUCCAUGAUCUAACAAUAUCAUAUGGAACCCACCAUUUUGCAGGACUCAGAAUAUGAAGUCCACAGGUUAACGUGUGAAUAUUGGAAACUGAUCAAGUUGGCCCAUAAAAUGAUGGAAGCUCUAACAGUGGACCUGAUUUUAAUCCACACUGAACUUACAAGCCACUGGCAUGUGGGGGGUGUUUGAACAUGCUUGGUGCUUGAAAGUUGAAUGCAGUCAGCAUUUGCAAUAACAGUUUGGAAGAGAUGUAGCUUAUUUUACACAUAAUUGAGAUGUAUUCUAGCACCAAGGUGACAGAAUCCACAUAGGAUUGGGCCCAAAUAUGACACUUCUUUGAUGCCCGCACAAACACAUUAACUUCAGCAGAUGAACAGCGGAAUAGGCAAGCAGAUAUGAAUCCUUGAGCAUUACUUGGAUAUAGAUUAAAGGACCAUAAAAAUAUGAGCCCUUUCAUUACAUCAUUCACUCAUUACCUCUGGUGAAUGAUAGUCACUGGGUUAACCUGCAACUUAUAGACCUACAUAUAGAAAUCUACAUUGUAAGUGUGUGAAACUGUGAAUGCUUCUCAUUCUGUAUCUCUAUCUGUAUCAUUGUUGUCUUCUUCAUGAUCUAUUUCCUCAAAUUUCUGAUUCAUCAUAAACCUCCAACUAUCUCCUUCCUCUAUUUCCCACUGUUUCUUCAGUUCAUAGAUUGCUUUGGAUGCUGCAGCAGCAAUUGCUGGGUUUCUAUCUUCUGCCAGUCUCUGCAGUGCUCCCAUGCCUGCAUUUCCAAGCGUCCACAUUGAUGGGGCUGCUGCUAAUGCAUUUGCCAAUGCUUUUCUUGUAUUAACAUCUGGAGAACUAGAACACUCUGCCAAUAAUGAGACACUACUUUUACCAUCCAUUGCAUCAAGAUCUAUAAGAGUUGUAAUCAACAACUCUAGCUCUUCUGGAUCAGUGUAGUCAAUGCCAUCAGCUUCAGAGAGUGCAGAUGCCAUACUCCAGUAAGCUCCCUGAAUAGCAGUAAUACGAUUGGUAGAAACUUCUCCAGGGAAAAAAUCCAAAGUCCUUCCAUUUUUCUCAAGCAUUAUAGAUCCAAGAAUGUCAUUAGCUGAAGGUGAACCCUUUUCCCCAAGUAGAGGGCUGAUAGCCAACAACAUCUUCAAAAUUAGUGAAUCAGGGUUGAAUAAUUUCGCAGCAAUCAAGGUAGAAUUUAAAAAAUAAAUAAAUAAAAGCACACAAAAGAGACUUGCCAUCAACAAAAGAACUUACAAUUUGUACAUCUUGCUCACCAUCAAAUCAUGAAUAUUCUUAACAAACUGCAUGGCACAAAAUGGAAAACAUAUUUUUUCCCAAGAGGCAUGGACAAAAAAAAUGUAAAGAAAAAUAAAUACUUAACAGAUAUAACUGGAGGAUAAUUACAACACUAAAACUAAGCAAGUUAUCCGAUGUUGAGAACGAAAAAGAGAUGGUCCUACAAAUAUCCUACAAUAUUUACACAUGCAUUACCAUUGCCAAUUAAUUUGGCAACGGACUCACCUCCAAAGCCAUCAGUGCAUCUUCCAUUGCUCGUUGCUUGGCACGGAAGUCAGCACGGCGCAAGUCAGCCUCUAAGGCUCCAUCACUCCAAUGCUUAUCAGCAGCACUUUUCAAUCUAGACUGAGCUCUGUCCUUUAAAACAGUAGCAAUGUGAUGAAGACGUUCAGCUUUCUUCUUCAUGUUGCGGUCGAUUUUCUCAUCAAGUUUAAGAAACUUUGACCCAAGAAUAGCAACAUCUUUGCGUGCACGGGCAUUCAAGCUCAUAAUUCCACGUGAAAGUAAGAUAAUGUCAUUACGUGCUCUUUCAUUUACAAAUUUUGCAUCAUUAUGUACAAAUUUGCAAGCUUGAGCUAAGCCCUGAUUUGAGUGAAAAACUCGUGCGGGCAUGACUGAGCACUCAUCUUCCUCUUCUCCAAUUUGCAUGCUGGACACAUCGGAACAAUCACUAUAAGGUCUAAUGCAUUCCUUUUCUUCAGUUCUAGGAGUUGGUGUUGACAGGCAUAUGCUGGUAGAUCUCCGAGAGACGAGGAAACUAACUGGCUGUCCAUGUAUUCCCCAUAAAUUCUCACCAGAACCCAAUUUCGAUGCCAGGGGAUGGGCAUUGCUUAGUUGCCGCAACUGAAUUCCUUGAUUUAUAGGAUGUAGCUUACUUUGUGGUUGCGACUUGACAAAAGAAAAUAUAACUCCAUUUAUUCUGGAGGUACUGGUCCUCUGAGUCACAAAAGCACUGCUUGAAACCUUGCUUGCUUUAAGUGCCAUGGCAAACAUCAAUACAAGAAUAAAAUGAUACCAGCCAGCAUUGCCCUUAUAACAGCUCAAAGCUUAAGUAAGAACAAGCACAUUAUUUAGGGGGUCAAAUACUGCCAGUAUUAUAAGAAAAAACAUCAUAAGAGAAAGGAAUUCUAAAAUCAUUCCCAAAGAUCAUAGUACGAUGAUAUGAUAACAAAGCACCAUUAGCCCCACUGUUGCAAAUUAUCUAAUAUACUUCCAUGCUUACAAACAUGAAAAUCAAAAUAAUAACAAUUAAUACCAAAUGUCCAGUUUUUUUUUAACAUAGAUAAUUAUUGGCAGAAAGAUACUGUGUUGGGAAGAUGAUAGAUUCAGGACAUUAUGCAUUAACAACAUAUAAUAGCAGUUUCCAGUACUGAGGUCACUUUACAGGAGUGAUCAUAGAUAAUAUCUUCCUUAAAACAUGCACCUGAUAUUGGAAUCACAAGCACUAGUUUAAAGACAUUAUAGAUGUCAAAUGAUAAUUUCAAGUAUAUUUCACCUUCCCUCAAGCCCAUAUCAUAGUCUUUAAAUUUUCAAGAAGUCACCAUUCUUUAAAUUUUAAAUAUGUUCAAGAACCAAAGGUCUGAAAAACCUGAAGGAAUUAACCUAUUAAAGUUUUUGCGCUAUAACCAAGUUUAAUGAGCUAUUUAUUAAUUCUCAGUUUUUCUAGUGCAAUAUGCUUGAUCUUUUACAAUUCUUCAGUCCAGUGGCAGGGCAUAGAACCAGGUAAAAGCCAUCUCACAUCCAAUGACCAUCCAACUUCCAAGUAAUGGGUAGAUUCAAAUUCAAUCACAAGCCUAUGGCCUAUAAACAUGUACCAGCUAGCUCCAACAGCACCUUCCAUCCCUUUCACAUUUCAGCCAGUGAUCAUUUGUCAUUUGAUAAAUCUGAAUCGGACCUUGGGCAAAUCCUUUAGGCGUGAUCUCUGGUCCAAAUUAAUAAGGUCCAAUUUAAUCAACUAAUGGCCUAAAGGGAAAACAAGACAUACCAAGCUGACACUGGAAAGCAAACAAUAAGGUUCACUUCUCUGACAGCUGAUUCUUUUUUCUUCCUUGGCUUGUGAAAGGCUAAUCCUACAGUUCAUUACAAAAUUCAAGCUAGAAGUGGCUACUGUCUUCGUGUCAAGUCCUCGUCUCCUUCCCACAGGCAAUUGAGUUUUGAGACACAAUUAUGACUUAGGGAAUAUACAAUUUCCUGAUUUCCCAGAAUCUGUUAAUGAUAAAUGCUUAUGAGAAGUUCCAUCAUCAUAAGCAAUAAAAAGAAUAUUACGAAUCCCUUUACGAUUACACUGAUUUCACACCAAUUCAAUCUACUUCUAUCUUUUUCUUUUUUCAUUAGACAGACAGUAAAAUCCUUAAGCAUCCAUUACCUCUGUGCUAAGAACAUCAUUGCAAAUUGAGCAUGUAAGAAUUAAGAUACAGCAAGAUGAUCCCCGCAAAAUUCAAACUUCAAAACAAAAAUAGCAACUAGAAACAGAAACAAAAGGAACCCACCAAGGGAAAAGCGCAGAAAACCCAAUCAGCACAUUACUGGUAGUAAUAUAAAAAUGAAGCAACUUAAAGCCAGUCUUCAAAUCAAGAAAUGCAAAGGAAGAGCAAACUAACCUGAAGAGAGGUAGAAGUUCUACCUCUGUGCUAAGAACAUCAU
rnacentral:misc_RNA from 1 species